GUAUACUCAUUUUGUAUGUAGCGUAAUUUUUAGGACUUUUUUAUGAAACGAAUAAAGUUUGUAAGAUAAUUGUGGUUGUUAUUUGAAUAUUCCCUUUGCUGUGAGCGCAGUCGCAACGUCACACUUCCAAGUCAAAACCAAUGGGCAUGUUUGUUCCCAGUUUCCCACACUGGAGCUACGAUGUUUUAAAAGGAAUACUCCCAUUAUAAUUGUCAGAAGGGUUCAUCGGAGUGAAGCUAUUCACGUACGACUACUCCGCGCACAUUAAGGCAGAGCCGCCGGCCAGCGAGUUUGAUUCUGACUCGGACACCACCGAGUUUGUGCCAAUCGUCAACUAGGUUAAGACUGUAUGUAUACUCAUAUGUGUAGCGUAAUUUUUAGGACUUUUUUAUGAAACGAAUAAAGUUUGUAAGAUAAUUGUGGUUGUUAUUUGAAUAUUCCCUUUGCUGUAAGCGCAGUCGCAACGUCAUACUUCUAAGACAAAACCAAUGGACAAAUUAAACUUGUCUAUAAUUAUGUUUGUUCCAAAGUUCCCAGACUUGGAGCUACGAAGUUUUAAAAGGAAUACUCCUAUUAUAAUUGUCAGAAGGGUUCAUCGGCGUGAAGUUGUUCACGUACGACUACUCCGCUCACAUUAAGGCAGAGCCGCCGGCCAGCGAGUUUGAUUCUGACUCGGACACCACCGAGUUUGUGCCAAUCGUCAACUAGGUUAGGACUGUAUACUCAUAUGUGUAGCGUAAUUUUAGGACUUUUUUAUGAAACGAAUAAAGUUUGUAAGAUAA